rnacentral:rRNA from 1 species
AUUGAACGCUGGCGGCAUGCCUUACACAUGCAAGUCGAACGGCAGCACGGGGGCAACCCUGGUGGCGAGUGGCGAACGGGUGAGUAACAUAUCGGAACAUACCCUAGAGUGGGGGAUAACGUAGCGAAAGUUACGCUAAUACCGCAUACGAUCUAAGGAUGAAAGUGGGGGAUCUUCGGACCUCAUGCUCAUGGAGUGGCCGAUAUCUGAUUAGCUAGUUGGUGAGGUAAAGGCUCACCAAGGCGACGAUCAGUAGCUGGUUUGAGAGAACGACCAGCCACACUGGAACUGAGACACGGUCCAGACUCCUACGGAGGCAGCAGUGGGAAUUUUGGACAAUGGGGGCAACCCUGAUCCAGCAAUGCCGCGUGAGCGAAGAAGCCCUUUGGGGUGUAAAGCUCUGUCAGCUGGAACGAAUAAAAUGACGGUACCAGCAGAGGAAGCAUCGGCUAACUACGUGCCAGCAGCC